GACUUAUAAAUUACAUGCCAAUGGUUACGAUACAAUAGUUAUGACUCAAGGUUUUGGUAUGCAACCUGAAUGAUGGAACAAGAUAAAUUGUUAGUUGUGUGCAUAGUCAUACAUAUUUCAGAUGAGAGAAAAGUUCCAAGCUUCGAAUAUUGGUUUUGGUUGUUUGUCUCUUCGUUACUUUCUAAUUUGUAUUGUCUAGUAUAUUUCACAUGCUUUAUCUCAUUGACUGUAGCUCCCUAAUUAUAAGUAGUCUACUGCUAGAAGUUAACAGUUAUCUUAUGCGGCAAGAGUGCAAGACUCACUGUAGACCAUUUAUUAUUGGAAAUACGGAUUGGCUCUGUGAACAUUAAGACAGUCUAUUACCAGUAGCUGUUCUUAUACCGAUGCCUUCUUCACCAAUGUACCAAUGUACCUUAUUUUUUAGUCUUUGCAACUCAUAUAGUGAGAUGAUAUACAUUACAUGUAUUUACAUAUAAAUUUACGUGACUUGUGUGAUGUUUGAGAACUUUAAACUUUACCUCUUCACACUAAUUACGUAAGCAUUGUACUCAUUUUACUCUUUUUGCCCUUGAAUUGUCACUCUUUAAGUUAUUUGAUGUGAGCAUCAUAGGUUUGGUAUUUGAUGAUCUAGAAAUUUUGAGCUGUGAUGAGAAGUAUGAUUUGAUGUACUUAUAUCUUCUAUCCUUUGUUAUAGCUUUCAUUCUGUUGUAUUUGUGCCCCCCCCCCAAAAACUUGGACUAGGGACGAGUAUGUGUGGAUUCUAUUUGCAAAUAUAAGUAUGUAAAUGGCCCUCUUUUUUUUGUUCGUGCGAUGAUUGUAUUCUCUUGCUUGCUCAGAGGACGGAGCAACAAGUUUAUCUUUGGNGAUGCCCAUUGGUGAGGAGGCGCAGAAUGGCAGUGUUGUUAAGCCAAAAGGGUCGAAUCCUUUUGGUGAUGCUAGGCCUAGGGAGGAGGUCUUGAAGGAAAAGGGUCAGGAUUGGAAGGAGGUUGAUGAAAAGUUGGAGUCUUUAAAGUUAAAGGAAAAGGAGGCAAUAAGUGAUGGACCUGGUUUUGGGAAGAGAAGUUUUGGUAGUGGGAACGGGCAGAGUGGUGGAAAUGGUGAUAGGUCUGAGAGGAGCUGGAGGAAGCUUGUUGAUGUGGAUGUUCGUCCGCAGAGGUUGGUCAAUUGCAUCUUUUAAGUUUAUAUAAUUUUAGUGUAAUCAACUUGAGAAGAGUAACAGUUCUUGUUUGAAAACAUUUUAAGUGCAUGUGUAUAAGUAUGUUAUCGUUUUGGGAGAUAAUGGUACAGUUUUUUUUUUUUUUUUGCUGGUAGGAUAUAAUAGGUGUCCAUUUAAAUUGUUUUGCACUUAAGCUAGACAUCAUAGUUUAUCUGAAUUCAGUUUUGUGAUGCUCUUAUAUGAUUGAUGAGGUGGAACCUUUAACACUUGAAAGUCUUUAAAGUAUGUCAUGUUUGGUGUACACUUCAGAGGUAAAAUUAAUCAAAGAUUAAUGUGCCUGUAGUUAUGAUUUUUUUAAAGAAAGCCUCACAUCCAACUUUUUUUAGUUUCAGUUAAAAAUGUCGGUUUUGAGUUGCUAGUUCUAAGUUUACCAACUGACCAAUCUAUUAACCAACCUAUAGGCUCAGCCAAAGAAGCAAACGCCAACUAAAGUCAGUCCGCCUUGGAACAAAUUAGACUUAUAAAUUACAUGCCAAUGGUUACGAUACAAUAGUUAUGACUCAAGGUUUUGGUAUGCAACCUGAAUGAUGGAACAAGAUAAAUUGUUAGUUGUGUGCAUAGUCAUACAUAUUUCAGAUGAGAGAAAAGUUCCAAGCUUCGAAUAUUGGUUUUGGUUGUUUGUCUCUUCGUUACUUUCUAAUUUGUAUUGUCUAGUAUAUUUCACAUGCUUUAUCUCAUUGACUGUAGCUCCCUAAUUAUAAGUAGUCUACUGCUAGAAGUUAACAGUUAUCUUAUGCGGCAAGAGUGCAAGACUCACUGUAGACCAUUUAUUAUUGGAAAUACGGAUUGGCUCUGUGAACAUUAAGACAGUCUAUUACCAGUAGCUGUUCUUAUACCGAUGCCUUCUUCACCAAUGUACCAAUGUACCUUAUUUUUUAGUCUUUGCAACUCAUAUAGUGAGAUGAUAUACAUUACAUGUAUUUACAUAUAAAUUUACGUGACUUGUGUGAUGUUUGAGAACUUUAAACUUUACCUCUUCACACUAAUUACGUAAGCAUUGUACUCAUUUUACUCUUUUUGCCCUUGAAUUGUCACUCUUUAAGUUAUUUGAUGUGAGCAUCAUAGGUUUGGUAUUUGAUGAUCUAGAAAUUUUGAGCUGUGAUGAGAAGUAUGAUUUGAUGUACUUAUAUCUUCUAUCCUUUGUUAUAGCUUUCAUUCUGUUGUAUUUGUGCCCCCCCCCCAAAAACUUGGACUAGGGACGAGUAUGUGUGGAUUCUAUUUGCAAAUAUAAGUAUGUAAAUGGCCCUCUUUUUUUUGUUCGUGCGAUGAUUGUAUUCUCUUGCUUGCUCAGAGGACGGAGCAACAAGUUUAUCUUUGGCAGCAUCAAUAUCAUGAUCUUUCUGAGAUAUUGUUUUUC
rnacentral:lncRNA from 1 species